rnacentral:rRNA from 1 species
AAGCAGGGGAUCGUAAGACCUUGCGCUUUUGGAGCGGCCGAUGCCUGAUUAGCUAGUUGGUGGGGUAAGGGCCUACCAAGGCGACGAUCAGUAGUUGGUCUGAGAGGACGACCAGCCACACUGGGACUGAGACACGGCCCAGACUCCUACGGGAGGCAGCAGUGGGGAAUUUUGGACAAUGGGCGGAAGCCUGAUCCAGCAAUGCCGCGUGAGUGAAGAAGGCCUUCGGGUUGUAAAGCUCUUUCAGUCGAGAAGAAAAGGUUGCGACUAAUAAUCGCAACUUAUGACGGUAUCGACAGAAGAAGCACCGGCUAACUACGUGCCAGCAGCCGCGGUAAUACGUAGGGUGCGAGCGUUAAUCGGAAUUACUGGGCGUAAAGGGUGCGCAGGCGGCUUUGUAAGUCAGAUGUGAAAUCCCCGGGCUUAACCUGGGAAUUGCGUUUGAAACUACAAAGCUAGAGU